rnacentral:rRNA from 1 species
UACGUAGGGUGCAAGCGUUAAUCGGAAUUACUGGGCGUAAAGUGUGCGCAGGCGGUUUCGCAAGUCAAGUGUGAAAGCCCCGGGCUUAACCUGGGAACUGCGCUUGAAACUACGGAACUCGAGUAUGGCAGAGGAAGGUGGAAUUCCACGUGUAGCGGUGAAAUGCGUAGAGAUGUGGAGGAACACCGAUGGCGAAGGCAGCCCCCUGGGCUAACACUGACGCUCAUGCACGAAAGCGUGGGGAGCAAACAGG